GAUGAACGCUGGCGGCGUGCCUAAUACAUGCAAGUCGAGCGAAUGGAUUAAGAGCUUGCUCUUAUGAAGUUAGCGGCGGACGGGUGAGUAACACGUGGGUAACCUGCCCAUAAGACUGGGAUAACUCCGGGAAACCGGGGCUAAUACCGGAUAACAUUUUGAACCGCCUGGUUCGAAAUUGAAAGGCGGCUUCGGCUGUCACUUAUGGAUGGACCCGCGUCGCAUUAGCUAGUUGGUGAGGUAACGGCUCACCAAGGCAACGAUGCGUAGCCGACCUGAGAGGGUGAUCGGCCACACUGGGACUGAGACACGGCCCAGACUCCUACGGGAGGCAGCAGUAGGGAAUCUUCCGCAAUGGACGAAAGUCUGACGGAGCAACGCCGCGUGAGUGAUGAAGGCUUUCGGGUCGUAAAACUCCGUUGUUAGGGAAGAACAAGUGCUAGUUGAAUAAGCUGGCACCUUGACGGUACCUAACCAGAAAGCCACGGCUAACUACGUGCCAGCAGCCGCCGUAG
rnacentral:rRNA from 1 species